rnacentral:rRNA from 1 species
AUUGAACGCUGGCGGCAUGCCUUACACAUGCAAGUCGAACGGCAGCACGGGAGCAAUCCUGGUGGCGAGUGGCGAACGGGUGAGUAAUAUAUCGGAACGUGCCCAGUCGUGGGGGAUAACGCAGCGAAAGCUGUGCUAAUACCGCAUACGAUCUAAGGAUGAAAGCGGGGGAUCGCAAGACCUCGCGCGAUUGGAGCGGCCGAUAUCAGAUUAGCUAGUUGGUGGGGUAAAGGCCCACCAAGGAGACGAUCUGUAGCUGGUCUGAGAGGACGACCGGCCACACUGGAACUGAGACACGGUCCAGACUCCUACGGGAGGCAGCAAUGGGGAAUUUUGGACAAUGGGCGCAAGCCUGAUUCAGCAAUGCCGCGUGCAGGAUGAAGGCCUUCGGGUUGUAAACUGCUUUUGUACGGAACGAAACGGCCCUUUCUAAUACAGGGGGCUAAUGACGGUACCGUAAGAAUAAGCACCGGCUAACUACGUGCCAGCCGCCGCGGUAACAC